AAAGAAGGCGCUUCUGUGGGGCUGACCUGCACUUUACCCAUCAGCCAGCGCGCCGGGUUCAGCAAACCCCCCCCCAGUAGCGGCGGCUGCAGUAGCAGGAGGCUGAGGUUGGGCGCCGCGGCUAGGCAAUGUGAGGAUCCUCCGCCGGAGCCGCCCCCUCCCAUCCCCCAGUCAGUCAGGGAGGGAGGGAGCGAGCCUGCCGCGGCCUCUUCACGCGCGCAGCACGUACCAAAAUGGCAGAACUGUUUAUGGAAUGUGAGGAAGAGGAGCUAGAACCAUGGCAAAAGAGAGUGAAAGAAGUUGAGGAGGAUGAUGAUGAUGAUGAUGAUGAUGAGCCAAUCUUCAUUGGGGAGAUUUCAAGCUCCAAACCGGCCAGUACAUAUAUAUUGAACAGAGUCAACCUCAGCUCAUCACGAACGGGGAUACAGAAUGGUGCACCUAGUAGAGGUACAGUUACUACGUUCAAGCCUGCCAGUCAACACUAUACAACUCCUGCAUCCAAUCCGGGUGCUGUCACUGCUUCACCAGUCUUUCAGUCUGUAUCCAGACCUGCAACUAGCUCUGUAGCUGUUCAACCGUUGUCUAGACCAGUGACUGUUUCAGGAACUUCACAGACGCUACAGAGACCUGUUGCUGGAUGUUUAUCAGCUCAGCAGAUACCCGGGUCAAAUUCUGGAAUAUCACAGCCUGUUAGCAGACCUGUAACCGUUCCAGUAACGACACAGCCAGUAUCAAAAAAUAUUACAAUUCCUGUAAUGGGUCAACCCGUACCGAGGCCAGUGGCAACAGUAACAGCACAACCUAUAAUAUUAAAUCAGGGUUAUAUUGCGAGUUCUCCACAAGCUGUACCAAAUAAUACUUCGGGCAUACUGUUCGGCUUGAGACAGAAAUCAGGAGUUCCUCACUACCAGAGUGGAGCAGUAGUGACUAUGACAGGUCUGAAUGAGAGUGGUUUUGUGUCUAAGCGUCCAGCUACUUCUGAAGCCAACAGUGUUACUCCAAAAAAGGCCAAGCCUAAUGAGGUUGGUGCUGGAAGCAAUUCAACUGUAUCACCUUCAGUUAAAUCUCCAACAGUAACACCAUCACAAAAUGUUUCUUCAAAAGGUACUAAUAUUACAUCAAACAAUGUUAAAAAUGGAGCACCUUUUCCACGAGCUUGUCCAAAAUGCAAUAUUCACUUCAAUCUUAUGGAUCCUUUAAAAAAUCACAUGAAGUAUUGUUGUCCAGAUAUGAUAAAUAACUUCUUUCUGGGAACGUCCAAAACAGAAUGUUCAAAUACACCAAGAAAGACUGCUGAAUCUGAGAAAGGAAAAUUGAUCAUGUUAGUUAAUGACUUUUAUUAUGGAAAGCAUGAAGGUGAUGUCCAGCGGGUACAACAGGAACAGAAAACUCAUACAACUUUUAAGUGCUUCAGCUGUUUGAAAGUUCUUAAAAAUAACAUAAGGUUUAUGAACCACAUGAAACACCACUUAGAGCUCGAGAAGCAGAGCAGUGAAAGUUGGGAAAGCCACACCACCUGCCAGCACUGUUAUCGUCAGUUUCCCACACCUUUCCAGCUGCAGUGCCACAUUGAAAGUACACACACCCCUUAUGAGUCAUCUACUAUUUGUAAAAUCUGUGAAUUAUCCUUUGAAACAGAGCAAGUUCUUUUGCAACAUAUGAAGGACAAUCAUAAGCCAGGUGAAAUGCCAUAUGUUUGCCAGGUGUGCAAUUACAGAUCAUCAGCUUUUUCAGAUGUAGAAACCCAUUUUAGAACUGUACAUGAAAACACAAAACAUUUGCUUUGUCCAUUUUGCCUCAAAGUUAUUAAAAUUGGAGCACCAUACAUGCAUCAUUAUAUGAGGCAUCAGAAAAAAGGAAUAUACCGUUGUACUAAGUGCAGAUUGCAAUUUUUGACUUGCAAAGAAAAAAUGGAUCACAAGACUCAGCAUCACCGGACGUUCAGGAAACCUAAGCAAUUAGAGGGAUUGCCUCCUGGAACUAAAGUUACUAUUCGAGCUUCUGUUGGACCUCUUCAAUCUGGAACAUCUGCCACAUCUUUUAGCACAAGCACCUCCACAUUUCAGUUAUCUCCCAAAACUAAAAAUACCAACACUAAAAAUCAAAACAAAUCUAAUACAAAUAAAUCAAAAUUAAAAUCAUCAACUAUACAGAAGAAGCAAAACACAUUUACUAGCAGCAGCAGCAAAAAAAAAAAAAAAGUUGCUAAUACAGCAUUGCAUAAUCUAAGGUAUCGUUUGGGAGUUCAUAAAUGCAUUGAAUGUUACUCAGAAAUAAAAGAUUUUGCAAGUCACUUUCCAGCAUAUGUCCAUUGCAGCUUAUGCAGAUACAAUACUAGCUGUAGCAAAGCCUAUGUGAAUCACAUGAUGAGCUUUCAUAGUGCUCGUCCAAGUAAAAGAUUUUGGAUCUAUAAGAAGCAUUCAGAAGAACUAAGGGGUGUUACUGUCGUGUGUCUUAAUUGUGAUUUCCUAACUGAUGUUUCUGGCUUAGAUAAGAUGGCCACACAUUUGAGUGAAAGACAUACUCAUACUUGUCAAGUUAUUAUAGAGAAUGUUUCCCUAGGUUGCCCAGCUGCUGAACGCAUUUCUGAGUUAAAGGCAACUUCUCUCUCUCUGGUGGAGAUUUCAAAGUCUGAGGAUUCAGCAGCGUGGAAUUUUCUGUGGAAUUCACCCAAUUGCCCUGCAGAAAUGUGCUCUAGAACCUCUGCUUUCAUUUAAAAAAAAAACUAAAUUUCUAGCCCUUAUGAUUUUUUUUCAUAGAUUCCAAGGCCAGAAUGGACCUCUGUGAUCAUCUAGUCUGACCUCCUGUAUAGUACUUCCCCAAAUUAAUUCAUAGAGCAUAUAUUUUAGAAAAACAUCCAAUCUAGAUUUUAAAAGUGCCAGUGAUGGAGAAUCCACCAUGACCCUUGGUAAAUUGUUCCAGUGGUUACCUUCACUGUUAAAAAUUUUCACCUUAUUUCCAGUCUAAUUGUCUAGCUUCAACUUCCAGGUGAUGAUUGCAGAAGAUGCAUUACACUGAAAAUAUGAACAAAGUGCAGACCAUUUCUUUGAGGUUUGCAGGGAGCCUGAAGCAGCCCUCAGAAAUAUGACCUGCCCCUUCAGCUUCAUCAGGGCCUCUUGGAUUCUGAUUCUAUAGCUGUGGAAUUGGUUAUUUUUCCCCAAUGGCAUGAAAUGUUUUAAAUUUUACUGCAGCCAGGUGCUUGACAUUUUGCUCCAUAUACCUGCUCUGCCUGGAUCUGACUGCAGCUGUAUUUUGCUCUCUAGUUUUUCCCUGUCAGGAGGAGUUAACUGGAUUAUAGUGCAUGCUUUCUGCUCUGUUUGAUAAUAUUAGAUAACUGGGUCAGAGACCAGAGCUGGAGUCUAGUUUACAGCCUGGAUCUGGGGGAACCAAAAGCAUAGGCUGGUCAGUUAGGUUGCCUUGAGAACAUCAUAGGGAGAUGAGUUGCUGAAGUUAUCUAUAAGCUCACCCCUUCCUAGGUAGGCAUGGGUGGGGAAGGAGGUUCUGUAGCAGGCCAGCUGUACAUCAUCAUGGGAUCCGAGGCAUGGAGAGUGGAGCCAAGUCACCUACAGGACAUAGUGAAAAUCCAUAGUUGAAGAUAAUCUUUGUUGGAAAUAAUUUUAGGUCAGUGAGUAUGAGCCAUCAUUGUAUGGUUUUGUUUUUUGUUCUUUUUUUUUAUGAGUGAAGGGAUCAGAAUGAAGGCUAUUUAGAACAGAUUAACAUUGCCAUGGAAUUUGAAGAUGUUUGCUGUAGAAUUUGGUCUCACUGUAGCAGAGUAAACAGAUCCCCGUAUAUCAUAUGUACCGUAUGUUAGACUACAAAAUAUAGAUACAAGUAGUAUACAAUACAAAAACAAAAAAGAAAAAACGAUUUCACUAAAAAAAACCUCAAUACAAAUAAUAGAAAUUUAGGAUACUUUUCUGAACAUUACACAUUAACAAUUCUUCAUUUUAAAUUCAAAAUCCAUUUAUAAUUUUGAACAGUGACCAUUAUGAAUUAAAUUGCCUUAGUCUAUCAUUUUAGGCCCUGACCCUUCAUUGACUUCAAUGGGGCUUUGCAUGGGCUUACGGGUCUGCAUUAUGGCAGAUGCUUUUAUUAGACUACUUUGGCCAUUCCCACAUACCAUCAUUGGAGCACUCUUUUUUACAAUUAGUUAUUUUAUACAUGAAAGAAUUAGCUCGUUUUUAUUGUGCCUUCCAUUUUUGUGCCUUUUAUUGUGCUGAAAAAUCCCUUAUCCUUUUAAGAUAUAAUAGUGGACAAUAUGUUCUCCUAUAAAGCUACCACACUAAGCACUUACAACCAGAGCCUUACAGUUUUUUAUGAGACAAAUUUGUAUGUCAGUCUUCCUUAUUUAAUACAUCUCCAAUAGAUACUGUCCAGGAAGUCUUGUGUAAUACUUUAAAUUGCAUUAACUUCACUUUUGUUUCCACUGAUGGUCAACGAAUCUGUAGUUCAGUCCUGAUAUUCUUCCUCCAAAUGAACAACUGUGGGGACUUAGUUCUGCAGACCCUACUCAAGUGAGAUGUGAGUGGGUCUACUUAUAUGAAUAAGGGUCACAAAAAUGUGUGCUAAAAUGUGAUCUACUUUUUCUUAACUUGGAAGACUGGUUGCAAGUGUCUGUACUAAGCUAUCCACUGGAUCCCUACUAACUUGCGGAUCUGGGGAAAUAGCAGUGUAAAAUUCUUUCUGCUGCAUUGCAGUAUAAUCAGUUGGUCAUGGAUGUAAAAUAAAAAUAUCAUUAAUAUUACAGAAAAAUUCAAGACCUAGUUUGCCUGAAGGAAAAACAGAAACAUCAACUUUUGAAAGACCACUUCUGAGGUAUGUCUGAUACUCUGACAUUUUACUUUCACUUAAAAUGCUUGCUUAAUAAUGGGAACUGAAUGGCUCAGGUUUAGCAAUGACUACGAAGUUUCUCCUUUGCUGGAUCACUGGUUCAAAUCCAGCCCAGGGCAGUAGUAAAUCAUUUGAAUCUUGGUACAGUAGACAAUUGUGUAUCAUAUUUACUAGCUUCUUCCUGACUCCCCAUUUGUAGCAAAUUUCUGCUUUGUAAUGACACAGCUAUUCAAAUUUGAAAAUAGUUCAGGGGCCUAGAGGAAAUGAGUUGAUUGUCUCAGUCUAGUUCCUAGGGUACAGAUCUCAACAUGAUGAAAACCUAUGAUGAUAGAUUUUUAAAAUAUUGAAAACUGGGACAAGGCACCUCUGGUAUCGAUCAUUUUUUAAUCCUCCAAAUUUUGUUGAUCUGUUUGAUUUUAUGCCAAUAUAUAACAUAGCAAUUGUGUUUGUUGACAGUAUCCUCCUGGCGAUUGGCAGUGGUCAGGACUCCAUAUUGAUCCUUUUUAGUUUCAUCAACAGCCCUUGAUACCAUUGCUCAAGUCACCUUGCUCUCUGACUCAUCAAUUGUCUAGUCUUUUCCCAUGUUUCAUAAUCCAGCCAAAGUUUGAACCUGGCUCAAUUGUUGGGCUUUUGAGUGAGAACUCAAGCAUGACCAUAAAACCCAUUCCCUUGUUAUCUCUUCUCUCAAACAAGAGGGUUGUUUACUUUUCCUUGGGACAGACUAUAGGAAUCUUCUCAGAAAAUGAAAAAUCCCCAAAUAUCCUAAAUAAAACAGAGAAGAUCAAAUGAACUCAUAAAUGUUUCAAAAAGCAAGUAUAUGCAGAGUUGAUUCCCUAGUCUCCCCUAGCUAGAGCCAAAUCCUUAAAAUUACAAGAGAGAUUUAAAAACAAUAACAGCAACACUUCAAAUUUCUAGAGUUCUAUAACUCUCUUUCUCUAAGCUGUUAGUCUUAGACUCUCAGUGUCUCUUUAACUUAUGUCAGCCCCUAAUUUUGGAUUCCUUUACUGUCAAGACUGGCUACUUUAGGGCCACAUGUCAACUUGCUCAUUACCAUAGUGCGUUCUUGGUAUUCUCAUCUUGACAUGAAUGGUUAUGCAAGCAUACAACUCCAGGAAAUGAAUACUUGUUUUCAUUGUACGGUAGCUAGCUGGCUAACUGUAUUUACCGAAAACCUUCCUUCUCUUUGGAAAAUUGCAGUUUUUCCUCUUUUUUCCUCACAUCUACAGUUAGCUGUUUCUUUACAUGCACAUUUGUCAAAAUAGCUUACAGGAAUAUUUCACAGGAGUGUUAGUGUUUCAUUCCCUGAAAUAUCAGACAAAAAGCUACUCUUUUUCAGCCACAGCCUUACCAACAAAUUUCAUAUUUAUUUCUCAAUACCAAAUAGUAUUUUUGACUCGAUGUCUUAAUUUGUCACAAACAAUUAGGUUUUGUUGACUCAUCUGCAAUCCUUGAUCGGGGUAAAUGGUAUUGGUUUAGAGGCAUUGUAUGCCUUUUUAUCUGAGAUGUCACCAUUUGUUUUGGGUAACUAAAUUUCUUUGCUGCAAGAGGUCUUUUUGAGUGAACUUGCAAAAUUAUUUUUAAUCUUACACCUUUCAGUUCAACAUGUAUAAAUAAAUUAGUGGUAAGAUAUAUAAAUUUGUCAGUGUGCUGAUGGCACACAGCUGUAUCUAUUUCUUCAUCAGUAUUAAGUGAUGCAUAAUCUGCCUUCCAGCGCCUGGCCAAAAUUGAGCUUGGAUGAAAGCAAAUUCAUAGGGGUUCAGUCUGGAAAAGGUGGAGAAUUUGAUGCUUGAGGGAUAUGUGAGUUUUUAAGGGCUUGGGGUGAUGGUUCUUGCCCAUUUAUUGAGGGUAUAUUCACAUUUUAAGAGGUUCUCACUUUGGACAUGUUCUUAUACUCCUAUGUGCUCUUGGAAUCCCAGGUGGAUCAGUAUGGAGCAUCUUUUUUCAUCAUGUUGUAGCUAUAGCUGGUCCAGAAUGAGGGUGCUAGCUUGUUAGGCAGUAUUAGCUAUAGCAAAUAUAUUACACCAUUUCCCCAGGAACUGUCAUAGCUUUCAUUUAACUUGUGAAUACAAUUAUAGGCAUUGACUUCAAUCUGUAAACCUGUAUAUGACUUAAGUCUUGAUUAUCUGAGACAAUCUUUCUUUCCUUGUUCCAGCAGUGUGGUCAAGGUCAGCUGGAGCAAUCAUGCUAAGAAACCCUAGAUUUUAAGUAUCAAGAUACAGAUGAUAUGGUAUUCUGAAUGCAGAGUCCUUAACUCUGGAACAUGUUGCAUCCACUAGCUCGUGCAAACCUCUUUUCUCAAAUCUUGCCUGGAAGAGUUGGGGAAGGGUAGGAAUUUGUUUUGGGAGAAGGUCCUUUCCUUGAAGAAUCCUUAAACAAGAAGCAAAAAUUGUAUGUUACAUAUUUUAUGUAGAGAUUUAAACAUGUUACGGUGCAUUUUAGUAAAACGAAAUAUAAAUUUAACCUUUUUUGGCAAUCUCAGUAGAGGAAGGGUUUUAAUGGGUGAGUUCUUAGCCCUUGAAUGAAUCCCUCCAGAGUAUGAAUGAAACACAUUGGUGUGGCAGUGUCGUGUUGCUUACGUUACAAUUGGCUCUGCUGCUUCUAGUGUCUGGAUAAAUAUUGUUUGGUUGCUGAAUUCUGAUCAGUUUUAUAUCCUGCACAAGAAAGUUCACUUUGCUUUUGUUUUUUUAAUAAAUAUUCUUGGUUUAGCUUCUUAAGUGAAAGUAAAACUUGAAAGCAGACCAACUUUUCAGUUUUGUAAUAACUAAUACCUGGGCUAGAAUAAUACUGCAGCUUUUAAUCAGAAUCCCCUCCUCACCCCCCAGCCCCCAAAAAUCCCUCUUAUUCUCUCUCGCACAUCUCUUGGCUGUAUAUCAGAGUUCAGGAAUUGUUUUCAAUUUUAAGUUUUAGAUUUUUAAAAGCUAAAUUGGGAGUAAUGGUAGCCUUUUAAAUACAAAUUAAGCUUGAAAAUAGUCUAAUGGUAGUUCCUUCAUCUUCCUUUUUAAUCUAUCCAUCACAUUCAAAGUUUCUGGCAGUCUGGGCUUUUUUCAGAUUUUAGUUUUCUUUUAGGGUGCUAGGAGUUAAAUAAAACCUUUUCAACAAACUAAACCUCUGAAUGGAGACCAGAAUUCCCUCUGUGCAAGUAUAUGAUGGACGUUGGUGUUCCUAUAACAAAUGGGAAGCAAUGUUCAGAAGUGUGUCCUACUUGAAUCAUCAGCUAUCAGAACCAAAAAUAUGAGCAGAUAAAUUUAGGGAUUAGACUU